rnacentral:rRNA from 1 species
AUGCGCGCGAAUACGCUGAGAGCAGCAAUGGCGACGGCCAGGAUGGCGCUGUCGUCGCCGGCAAGAGCGCUCUCGUCCGCGGCCGCGCACCCUCCCGCCUCCGGCGUGGCCAUGGUGCAGGGCGCGUCGCGCGGCAUCGGGCUGGAGUUCGUGAGGCAGCUGCUGCGGAGGAGCGACCAGGGCCGCGUCGUCGCGACGUGCCGCGCCCCCGACUCCGCCGCCGAGCUCCAGGAGCUGAGGCGGGAGCACGCGGGGCGCCUCACCGUGCUGCCGCUGGACGUCACCGACGAGAGCACCAUAGAGGCCGCCGCAGCCGCAGUUGGGGAGACCCACGGAUCCCUCGACCUACUGAUCAAUGCCGCCGGCAUCCUUUCGAUCCAAAAUGUGAUACAGCCAGAGACCUCGUUGAGCAAAGUUCAGAAGUCAUCCCUGCUACUGGCAUAUGAAGUCAAUGCUGUCGGUCCUAUUCUAGUCAUCAAGCAUAUGCGUCCGUUCCUGAAGAUUGGUGCGAGCUUGGAAACAGGGAAAGGUUUUUCGUUGGUUGCAAAUAUGAGCGCUAGGGUUGGCUCGAUUGGAGACAAUGCUCUGGGAGGCUGGCAUUCGUACAGAGCUUCUAAAACAGCACUGAAUCAAUUGACUAAGACUGCGUCAGUCGAGUUGGGCAAGAAGGACAAUAUCGCCUGCAUUUUGCUGCAUCCAGGAACUGUCGACACCGAUCUCUCACGGCCAUUCCAAAGAAAUGUGGCCAAGGAUAAACUCUUCACGAGGGAGUUCUCUGUGCAGAAGCUCCUGUCCAUCAUUGACAAUGCCAAGAAGACUGACAAUGGGAAGUUCUUCGCUUGGGAUGGCCAAGAAAUUCCUUGGUGA